CAUUUAUUUCAGUUUAUAAUUUAUAUAGUAGUCUGACGCGACUUGCAUGAAGAAAAUAGUUAAGUGUGAGCUCUUGACGUGUGAAUCAGUGUCGUUCUCUCUUCAAUUCGUCUUUUAUUUUCUCUUUUUAUUAUAUAACAUUAUUAUAUUGGACAUAUUAAAACCGGUCACUCACGUAAGUUGCUCGACAUAUUUCGCACCGUAACGAGGAGCUUCUUCAACGACCCGAUGCACGCGCCGAGAGCUGCAGCUCGCAGUCUGCGUCGGUCCGCCAACGCGUGCUGCCGUUAAAAAAGCUCCUUGGAGCGCAACAUUUUGAGCAAUUAAUAAUAAUAACUUAACAUACGUGAGCGCGUUUUAAUAUAUCUAAUAUUAACUGUGUCUGACGAAAGUUUUGUUAAAAUAAAUUAUUAUAUUUAACGCUGCGGCUAUCUGUGUGUCUGUAUUAAGCUUUCGAUGUUCAAUGUAUAGUUUAUUGUAAUUAGAUUAUAUGCUUAACUGCGCAUAUUGUAAUGGAAUUUGGGUGAUAUCAAAUGGUUGUUGCAUUACAAGUACAAUACCUACGAGGUACCAAGUUAUUACCUAAGGUUGCAGCGGCGAGGUUAUAUAUAGAACCAGGACCAACCUGGCCCAAGAUACUAUACUGUACAUCACUGCAUCGAACAUUGUCUUUCCCACUGUCUUUCAAUUGGUAGUAAAUAAAAACUUACAUACAGAUGAUUGCACACUCACAGAUAAAACUAUUACCGACUCUUUUCUUUUAUAUUAAAAAAAUAUAGUGCAUUUAUAAAGAGGUUUAUACAAGGUAGAUGUGUAGUUUAGUAAUAAUUGUACGUUAUUUAUAUAAAAAAAAAAAAACAAAUUCCUUUUCACGCAUUUAGCUACAUUUAAGGCCCACACGGAUUUUGACCAACUAUAGAUUUUCUCGGCGAUCAGUUGAUGUAAAUAGAUUGAUUGAUCUUAUGACUUUCGUACUCAGGGUAAAAUAUAUAUUUACUAUGAAUAAUUAUUGUUGUCUAUUUAUAUAUGUUUUUUUAGAUGAUUUAGGUGGGAGUGACUUUUUGGCCUGCACAGGCUUCCUGUCCUUAAAAGUGAUAGUUUUUCUUGAAUUUAUUAAUGUUCCUUGCCCUGUGUAGGGUGAAUCUUUCACUGUUGUUCUUUCCUUAGAGGAGUUAUGAAAUGGUAGACUUAUACAAUUUAAUACAAACCUUGUUAACAAUUUAUUGAUAAAUGAACAUAUAGUUGGAGUAGAUUAGGGUCUGCCACGGGUAUAGACACAUUUUUAACAUUUCACUGUUACUUCGUAUACCCUGCCCAUCGUAUUAAAGCCAAAGACCUUAUUUCAACAUAAAAAAACUAUUUUAAAUGGCUGACUACUUUGGACGGGGUAUAUUUUUAUAUUUUAGCGUGUUUUCCUUCGUAGUCCUCUAUCUCAACACACUCUAGUUAAAAUGUUACAAAUGUGUCACCUCUUUGAACACUUAGGAUCUGGUUGUUUAAUCAUUUGAAAAACACGUCUAUAUACCAUAGACCAAAGACUAUUCAAAUGAAGACUCAAUCGGCAGCAUUCUGCGUGUCUGAGAACUGUAAUUUCUCCUCUAACGUACGUCUUUACUAGCAUAAAAUAAGUGUUCCUUUUAUAAAAUGAUUCAUUACUUUUUUAAUCAAUUAUGGCCUGGAUGCGAGUCCUUUAAGCCAAGUCUUUAUUUUGAAUGAAUUAAAUAAAAGGGACACAUUUAUGUCAAUAAAUGCUAACGCUAAAGGAACGGAAUGCAAUCCUGGACACCAUAGACAAAUAGUAAUAGAUGAAUUUAGAGACAACGACACAAUCGAACACACACGAGAGCUUCGACACACGCCAAUAUUACUUUAUCAUAGAUAUAUAUUACGUUAUAUGUUCUGACGUUACUCGCAGUAUAGAGAGAAUUUUUAAAAGCAAAGAACUGACUGUAAAAGUGCCACACACACGCGCUUGUUUCUUUUAUUCUCUAUAUUGUUUUUUUUUUUCAGGUCUUAAAAUGAGGCACAGGGAAAUGGAAGGAUGGAUUAAACUGCCACAGCGAAAGCUGGUUAAUACGCUCUGUAGGGCUGAGAUGGUCGGCUCUUUAUCAUUUGUCACCAUGCCUGUCCCGUUCUAACAAAUAUGUAAGUGUGAAAGUGACGCAUGGCAUGACAGGUGAUAAAAAUGCGACCAUGAUACCGCUUCUAUAUAGCUAAAUUUUGUCCGUCUGUUUCCCUAUGCGCUUGUUGUUUUUAGAAUAGUUAUUAUUGGCCAAGAUCACUGAUAGAAGGUUAGUUUUUAAUAUUAGUGACAACUAGUGUUAAAUCGCAAGUUAACCGUAACAAAAAAAAGUGUAAAGACAAAAAAAAUCUUUGAUCGACCACUGCGUGUGGUCUGGCAUGUUGUAUUGUUAUUAAAACGAUUAACGGAGGUUAGUAGUUUAUCCACGAUUACAUUUAACUUAGAGUUAUGGAAAAACGAAAAAAGGGGUUAAUAAUAUUGUUGAAAAUGUUUUUAGGUAAUUGAUAAUUGGAUUGAGCUUUUGUGAAACCGCGUUGUUGAGAAUAAUUUAGGUUUCGUUUGCAGUUGGCUGUACAAACUGCCAAUCGAUAAUCGUCUCUAUCGUUAAAGGGAUACGGUUUAGUUUCACGGUUCACGUAGUGUAGGCUUCGCCUUUUUGUGUCCCAUGCUGUUAUGUUUCGGAGGUCCCAUUAUUAGUUAUGUAUAAAGUUUAGAGGUAGGGGUUUUCAGCUGCCGCGGGUGAGUUUGAAAAUGUUCUACCUAACAUGUUGUUAAAUAAUAAAUAACUACAUUGUACCACCA